AGUCUGACGGAGCAACGCCGCGUGAGUGAUGAAGGUUUUCGGAUCGUAAAGCUCUGUUGUUAGGGAAGAACAAGUGCCGUUCAAAUAGGGCGGCACCUUGACGGUACCUAACCAGAAAGCCACGGCUAACUACGUGCCAGCAGCCGCGGUAAUACGUAGGUGGCAAGCGUUGUCCGGAAUUAUUGGGCGUAAAGGGCUCGCAGGCGGUUUCUUAAGUCUGAUGUGAAAGCCCCCGGCUCAACCGGGGAGGGUCAUUGGAAACUGGGGAACUUGAGUGCAGAAGAGGAGAGUGGAAUUCCACGUGUAGCGGUGAAAUGCGUAGAGAUGUGGAGGAACACCAGUGGCGAAGGCGACUCUCUGGUCUGUAACUGACGCUGAGGAGCGAAAGCGUGGGGAGCGAACAGGAUUAGAUACCCUGGUAGUCCACGCCGUAAACGAUGAGUGCUAAGUGUUAGGGGGUUUCCGCCCCUUAGUGCUGCAGCUAACGCAUUUAAGCACUCCGCCUGGGGAGUACGGUCGCAAGACUGAAACUCAAAG
rnacentral:rRNA from 1 species